rnacentral:misc_RNA from 1 species
GAAAUGCGAUAAGUAAUGCGAAUUGCAGAAUUUUAGUGAGUCAUCGAAUCUUUGAACGCACAUUGCGCCCUUUGGUAUUCCGAAGGGCAUGCCUGUUCGAGCGUCAUUAUCAACCCUCAAGCCCCGGCUUGUUGUUGGACUUUGGUCGGUAACACGACCGGUCCGAAAGACAAUGACGGCUGUCCGUAGGACCCUCGGUACAAUGAGCUUUCUUCAAGCACGUACUGGAGUGGCUCUACGGCCCGGUCUCCCCCAUUUUAUUUAUCAAGGUUGACCUCGGAUCAGGUAGGAAUACCCGCUGAACUUAA